rnacentral:rRNA from 1 species
GCACAAGCGGUGGAGCAUGUGGUUAAUCGACGCAACGCGAAGAACCUUACCAGGGCUUGACAUCCCCUGACCGCGUAUGAAAGUACGUUUUCACCCUCGGGUGACAGGGAGACAGGUGGUGCAUGGGUUGUCGUCAGCUCGUGUCGUGAGAUGUUGGGUUAAGUCCCGCAACGAGCGCAACCCCUACGUUUAGUUGCUAACAGGUGAAGCUGAGCACUCUAGACGAACUGCCGUUGACAAAACGGAGGAAGGUGGGAUGACGUCAAAUCAUCAUGCCCCUUAUGUUCUGGGCUACACACGUGCUACAAUGGCCGGUACAGACGGAGGCGAAGCCGCGAGGCGGAGCAAAUCCGAAAAAGCCGGUCUCAGUUCGGAUUGCAGGCUGCAAUUCGCCUGCAUGAAGUCGGAAUCGCUAGUAAUCGCAGGUCAGCAUACUGCGGUGAAUACGUUCCCGGGCCUU